rnacentral:rRNA from 1 species
AGUGGCGGACGGGUGAGUAACAUUUAGGAAUCUAUCUAGUAGUGGGGGAUAGCUCGGGGAAACUCGAAUUAAUACCGCAUACGACCUACGGGUGAAAGGGGGCGCAAGCUCUUGCUAUUAGAUGAGCCUAAAUCAGAUUAGCUAGUUGGUGGGGUAAAGGCCCACCAAGGCGACGAUCUGUAACUGGUCUGAGAGGAUGAUCAGUCACACCGGAACUGAGACACGGUCCGGACUCCUACGGGAGGCAGCAGUGGGGAAUAUUGGACAAUGGGGGCAACCCUGAUCCAGCCAUGCCGCGUGUGUGAAGAAGGCCUUUUGGUUGUAAAGCACUUUAAGCAGGGAGGAGAGGCUAAUGGUUAAUACCCAUUAGAUUAGACGUUACCUGCAGAAUAAGCACCGGCUAACUCUGUGCCAGCAGCCGCGGUAAUACAGAGGGUGCGAGCGUUAAUCGGAAUUACUGGGCGUAAAGCGAGUGUAGGUGGCUCAUUAAGUCACAUGUGAAAUCCCCGGGCUUAACCUGGGAACUGCAUGUGAUACUGGUGGUGCUAGAAUAUGUGAGAGGGAAGUAGAAUUCCAGGUGUAGCGGUGAAAUGCGUAGAGAUCUGGAGGAAUACCGAUGGCGAAGGCAGCUUCCUGGCAUAAUAUUGA